rnacentral:rRNA from 1 species
ACCUACGGGGCGCAGCAGUGGGGAAUAUUGCACAAUGGGGGAAACCCUGAUGCAGCAACGCCGCGUGAGUGAAGAAGUCAUUCGUGAUGUAAAGCUCUAUCAGCAGUGAAUUGACGGUACCUGCAAAGGAAGCACCGGCUAACUCCGUGCCAGCAGCCGCGGUAAUACGGAGGGUGCGAGCGUUAAUCGGAAUUACUGGGCGUAAAGCGCUCGUAGGCGGUAUGUCAAGUCAAGGGUGAAAUCCCCGCGCUCAACGUGGGAACUGCCUUUGAAACUGUCAAACUGGAGUGUGUGAGAGGAUAGUG